rnacentral:rRNA from 1 species
AGUGAACGCUGGCGGUAGGCCUAACACAUGCAAGUCGAACGGCAGCACAGUAAGAGCUUGCUCUUACGGGUGUCGAGUGGCGGACGGGUGAGGAAUACAUCGGAAUCUACUUUUUCGUGGGGGAUAACGUAGGGAAACUUACGCUAAUACCGCAUACGACCUACGGGUGAAAGCAGGGGAUCUUCGGACCUUGCGCGAUUGAAUGAGCCGAUGUCGGAUUAGCUAGUUGGCGGGGUAGAGGCCCACCAAGGCGACGAUCCGUAACUGGUCUGAGAGGAUGGUCAGCCACACUGGAACUGAGACAGGGUCCAGACUCCUACGGGAGGCAGCAGUGGGGAAUAUUGGACAAUGGGCGCAAGCCUGAUCCAGCCAUACCGCGUGGGUGAAGAAGGCCUUCGGGUUGUAAAGCCCUUUUGUUGGGAAAGAAAAGCAGCAGGUUAAUCCCCCGCUGUUCUGACGGUACCCAAAGAAUAAGCACCGGCUAACUUCGUG